CCAAUUCUCCAGUGAGGGAUUGAGUUCAGAAGUGCAUAAGCAUGAGCUCAGCAAAGGUGGCCCCUGCUCCCUCCACCCUGGGCGUGACCUGGACAGGGGGAGACUCAAGUGUUCCCCUGUCCUGGGCUCCUCCUCAGGCAAGAACUUGCCAAAUGCCCGUCAAGGCUGCAGACUUCUCAGUCUCAGCCCCCUGCCCUCUCCAUGUGUGUCUGCAGUUACAGCAACACCGCCUUUUCAGAGCCCCCUGAGGAAGCCCGGGAGCAGCCAGGGCCCCAUCCUUGAGGAUGCGGAGCUGGGUUCACUCCUGGCUGCACCUUGAACUAGACUGUGAUUCUGGGCAGAGCAUUGAGCCUCUGAGGUCUUCUCCUUCUCCCUCAAUGGCCUCCUGUGAUCCCCUCCCCUCAGUCUACACAUCCUGCUGGAAUCCACUCCCCUUGACUGUGGUCUGAAGUUUGUCAUUGCCUGUUACUCUGUGGAAGAGGGCACAGUGAUGCGCAGGCAGUUCUGAGACUGGGUCCCAAACAGUCCGGGGCUCCCCUCCUUCUGGCUCUGACCUGUGUUCUCUCUCUCCCUCAUAUCCCUCACUCUGGGGAACAAGACUGUGUGUUCUAGGUUGCACCCUAGAGAGGCCGACGUGGCCUGGCCUUGAAGGAGACUCACCGACAGAGGGGCCUGCAGGCCUUCAGUCGCAUGGCGCCCUCCAGGACCCCAGAGUGCGCUCAGAGCAGGAGGGAUGCAGAUCCUGCCUCAGUUCCGAGCACAGCCCGACCCCCUGAGAGCCUCUGGCAGAAGCUCCCAGCUGAGCGCUGCUGGAUUCCUGGUCCAGUGCAACCAUGACAUAAUCAAGAUACCGGUGCUGGGUGGGUGUUCAGCUUGGAGAGAUCCAGUCUUUCAUGUGGUCCUUCAGAAACCCCUAGUUCUUCCACCAUGUGAUUUUUCCAGCUCUAGGACAUCAUCCUCAUCUGAAUCCGUCAGCAUCAGGGGAAGGACUUAAAGAAAUGCAUGCCAUUUCUGUCGUUAACUUACGUUAUAUGCCAUGGGGAAGGGAUUUUUCAGAUGCAAGAACAGUCUAAUCAUUUGACUUUGAGUUUAUCAAAAGAGAGAAUACUCUGGUUGGCAUUGACUUAAUCCAAUGAACCUUUUGAAAGAGAGUCAAAACCUUCCCUGAAUGGUGAUAUCAAGUGAGAGAGAGUCUUUUAUUAUCUUUAAGGAGCAAAGUACUGUGUUGUGGAAGGAGGGGCCAAGCAUUGCAGACAAUGGGCUAGUGGCCAC
rnacentral:lncRNA from 1 species